rnacentral:rRNA from 1 species
CACGCCGUAAACGAUGAUAACUAGCUGUCCGGGCUCUCAGAGCUUGGGUGGCGCAGCUAACGCAUUAAGUUAUCCGCCUGGGGAGUACGGUCGCAAGAUUAAAACUCAAAGGAAUUGACGGGGGCCUGCACAAGCGGUGGAGCAUGUGGUUUAAUUCGAAGCAACGCGCAGAACCUUACCAGCGUUUGACAUGUCUAGUUUGGUUUCCAGAGAUGGAUUCCUUCAGUUCGGCUGGCUAGAACACAGGUGC